AUUGAACGCUGGCGGCAGGCCUAACACAUGCAAGUCGAGCGGUAGAGAGGUGCUUGCACCUCUUGAGAGCGGCGGACGGGUGAGUAAUGCCUAGGAAUCUGCCUGGUAGUGGGGGAUAACGUCCGGAAACGGACGCUAAUACCGCAUACGUCCUACGGGAGAAAGCAGGGGUCCUUCGGGCCUUGCGCUAUCAGAUGAGCCUAGGUCGGAUUAGCUAGUUGGUGAGGUAAUGGCUCACCAAGGCGACGAUCCGUAACUGGUCUGAGAGGAUGAUCAGUCACACUGGAACUGAGACACGGUCCAGACUCCUGCGGGAGGCAGCAGUGGGGAAUAUUGGACAAUGGGCGAAAGCCUGAUCCAGCCAUGCCGCGUGUGUGAAGAAGGUCUUCGGAUUGUAAAGCACUUUAAGUUGGGAGGAAGGGUUGUAGAUUAAUACUCUGCAAUUUUGACGUUACCGACAGAAUAAGCACCGGCUAACUCUGUGCCAGCAGCCGCCGUAACAC
rnacentral:rRNA from 1 species